CCUACGGGUGGCAGCAGUGGGGGAUAUUGCACAAUGGGGGAAACCCUGAUGCAGCGACGCCGCGUGGGUGAAGAAGCGCCUCGGCGCGUAAAGCCCUGUCAGCAGGGAAGAAAAUGACGGUACCUGAAGAAGAAGCCCCGGCUAACUACGUGCCAGCAGCCGCGGUAAUACGUAGGGGGCAAGCGUUAUCCGGAUUUACUGGGUGUAAGGGGGGCGCAGGCGGCGGUGCAAGUCAGGAGUGAAAGCCCGGGGCCCAACCCCGGGACUGCCCGUGAAACUGCGUGGCUAGAGAGCAGGAGGGGCAGGCGGAAUGCCUGGUGUAGCGGUGAAAUGCGUAGAGAUCAGGAGGAACACCGGUGGCGAAGGCGGCUUGCUGGGCUGCAUCUGACGUUGAGGCCCGAAAGCGUGGGGAGCAAACAGGAUUAGAUACCCGGGUAGUC
rnacentral:rRNA from 1 species